rnacentral:rRNA from 1 species
GACGAACGCUGGCGGCGUGCUUAACACAUGCAAGUCGAACGGAAAGGCCCUGCUUUUGUGGGGUGCUCGAGUGGCGAACGGGUGAGUAACACGUGAGUAACCUGCCCUUGACUUUGGGAUAACUUCAGGAAACUGGGGCUAAUACCGGAUAGGAGCUCCUGCUGCAUGGUGGGGGUUGGAAAGUUUCGGCGGUUGGGGAUGGACUCGCGGCUUAUCAGCUUGUUGGUGGGGUAGUGGCUUACCAAGGCUUUGACGGGUAGCCGGCCUGAGAGGGUGACCGGCCACAUUGGGACUGAGAUACGGCCCAGACUCCUACGGGAGGCAGAAGUGGGGAAUAUUGCACAAGGGGCGGAAGCCUGAUGCAGCAAAGCGGCGUGCGGGAUGACGGCCUUCGGGUUGUAAACCGCUUUCGCCUGUGACGAAGCGUGAGUGACGGUAAUGGGUAAAGAAGCACCGGCUAACUACGUG